UUGUGUAUAUGUGUACACCUAUGUGGAUAUGUGUGUGUGCAUGUGGGUUUGUGUUCAGGUAGGUGUGCAUGUGGGUGGAAAGAGGAAUUUGGCAUUAUGUGCUUCCCUAGUUCCUCUACUCUUAGUUUUCAUUGAACCACGUUCUGUCACUGAACAGCUCACCAAUUGGAAAAACUGUCUGACCAGUGAACUCUGUUGCCCUGCUGUCUCCUCGGGUGUCUUUGCCUUCUUUCUUCCUGCUGUGAUAGAAUAUUGACCAAAACCACUUUCAGAAAUGCAGACAUUUCUUUUAUCUUGCAGAUUAAUGUCCACCACGAAGAGAAGCCAGGGCAGAAACUCAGGAAGCAACCUGGAGCAGGCAGCACACUGAGAGCCAUCUCCCUGUCUUCGAUCUGUACUGUUUCCAGGGUCCAUCAACCUGCAUGGGGACAGUGACGUAAGCAUUCCCACUGCUGUCCAUAGUAAUCAAAUGGAUGUGCAGAUUGAUUCCUGUGU